GUCGAGCGGCAGCGGGAAGUAGCUUGCUACUUUGCCGGCGAGCGGCGGACGGGUGAGUAAUGUCUGGGAAACUGCCUGAUGGAGGGGGAUAACUACUGGAAACGGUAGCUAAUACCGCAUGACCUCGAAAGAGCAAAGUGGGGGAUCUUCGGACCUCACGCCAUCGGAUGUGCCCAGAUGGGAUUAGCUAGUAGGUGAGGUAAUGGCUCACCUAGGCGACGAUCCCUAGCUGGUCUGAGAGGAUGACCAGCCACACUGGAACUGAGACACGGUCCAGACUCCUACGGGAGGCAGCAGUGGGGAAUAUUGCACAAUGGGCGCAAGCCUGAUGCAGCCAUGCCGCGUGUGUGAAGAAGGCCUUAGGGUUGUAAAGCACUUUCAGCGAGGAGGAAGGCAUCACACUUAAUACGUGUGGUGAUUGACGUUACUC
rnacentral:rRNA from 1 species